CGAGUGGUAAAUUGUUCUCGCGUUGGGCUAAUGUCAUAAAGUUGGAAAACAAAGCCAAUUCUGUUACUCAGGAAGCUCAUGAAGAUGUUUUUGACGAUAACGUUUUGGGAAAACGUGUUGGUUGGCACAUAACUGCACACCUUGGGAAAAAGUUAAAAAGUUUUGGGAAGAUACAUGCACGUUUAGAAAUAAAUGUAAGGGAUCUCUGUCGGAUUGCUAGCAGUAAUCCUUCCUAUCUUAAAAGCGGAAGUUAAAGACCAAGCCAGCCGAGAGUUACUACUUUCGAAACUCCUUUACAAAGAUUUAUCAAAUGAUUCUAAAUAUUGCAUUGUGUUGUUACUGCUCCAUGCGGUUCUUCAACCACAGCGCUAGAGUAAAACCCACAAACCAACGAUUGGUGACGCUUAAUCAGAGUUUAUAAGACUAGCACCAAAUGAUAUAUUACCAAAGAUUUCGUCCAAAAUUGAGCAAUACGCGAUUAAAAAACAGCAAUUGCAGCCUCACAUCAUUGCAGUAGGGUGAUGAUAAGACUGAAACAGUUGCAGAAAGUGAAACAUUUACAGACGCUGAUACACACUAUUCUUCCACUUCUGUUUCAUCAGCUGAAAAACCAACAACAUCUUUUUUAAAUAAAAGAAAGCAGAAACACUUCAAAGAGAACAAAUAUAUCAACGUUUUUUGGAGGAGCUAAAUAAAAAGAUAAAUAUGGUGAAGGAUUGGCAUCUAUAUUGAGGCGAAUUGGUAAACAAGACGAAGCUUAUGCUGAAGAAUUGGAAUUGAAGUGGCACGCUGAAGGUAUUGAAAGUUUAUAAUGUUUGUCUACCAGACUUGCCUCCCAAGAAAGAGAAUGAGUAUUAGUUUUUUCAUUCAUUCAAUUUAAUUUUAGUUUUAAGAAUACCAAAGUGUUCACCCAAAGGCAAAUGUAUUAAAUAAAUUUAUGUUUUUAUAUUUACCUUCAAAUAAUCUUUUUUUAGUAUGUUGUAAAUAGCUUCACACACGUCAGUGAUUAUUUUACCAAUCGUACACGGCGCAAUUUUAAACACAA